rnacentral:lncRNA from 1 species
UUGGGACACUCUGGAGUUGCUCCCACACGUGCAGCCCUGGGGGACCAGGAGGAUUUGGGUCGGGUCCAUCCGCUCCGUGCUCCCCCAGGUGCUGCAGGGCUGAUCCCUGCUAAUCCCACACUGGCCCAAUGCCCGGGCUCAGCACCUUCCCACCACCCCAUCCCCUCCAGUUGCCUUCAUAAGGGGCAGAACAGAGCCUGGGCUCAUCCUGGGGCUGCGGUCACCGCCUGAGCUUCGUGGGGAUGAUGAAGCUCUACGCAGUGCUGCUGCUGGCUGGGUUGGCCUGCUGCCUGGCUGUGGGCUUGCCCAUCAAUGAGACGCCGACCGUGGGGCAAGGUAAGUGGGGGUCCUGUGUGGGGAUCAGUGGGGCUGGGGGCUGAGAUUUCACUAGGAACUCUCUGAGCAUCCCAAUCGUACAGAGAACUCUCCUGGGGUUCCUCCUGUGCUCUGUAGGUGGGUGAGCGAUGCUCCUUCAUCCCUCCCUGCCCUCCCAAGUGUGGGAUCUGAGCUCCCUGCAGCACGAAGCAGCUCUGGGGAUGGGGUGGGGGGUGGUCCGUGCAGGCACAGACCCUCAUUUCUCCCCACAGAUGUGAAGGUGAGCAGCAGAGCUGCCGAAGGAGCGCUGGUGGAUUUGGCAGAUGUGGUGGAAAGCCUCCUGCGCUCCCUGGGAGACACCUUGGCCGGGGCGGUCAGACUGCUGAUAGGGGGAAAAGCGAAAUAGCGAGCAGCCGGCGUGGUGAGCGCUGCCCUCCCCUGCAGGGGACGUGGUGACAUGGGGACGCGGUGCUCUGCCCAUGGGUUCUGCUUCAUUCCAAGGUGCCACCAAUGCCACCUGCUCACCCUAUGGCUCUUCCCGUGUGAACAAGGC